rnacentral:rRNA from 1 species
CCCUUAGAUGUUCUGGGCUGCACGCGCGCUACACUGAUGCACUCAACGAGUUUACGACCUUGCCCGAUAGGGUUGGGUAAUCUUUUUAAAAUGCAUCGUGAUGGGGAUAGAUUAUUGCAAUUAUUAAUCCUCAACGAGGAAUUCCUAGUAAGCGCGAGUCAUCAGCUCGUGCUGAUUACGUCCCUGCCCUUUGUACACACCGCCCGUCGCUCCUACCGAUUGAGUGCUCAGGUGAAUAAUUCGGACUGCAGCAAUGUUUGGAUCCCGAACGUUGCAGCGGAAAGUUUAGUGAACCUUAUCACUUAGAGGAAGGAGAAGUCGUAACA